UACAGAGGGGGCAAGCGUUAUCCGGAUUCACUGGGUUAAAGGGUGCGUAGGUGGGUUGGUAAGUCCGUGGUGAAAUCUCCGAGCUUAACUCGGAAACUGCCGUGGAUACUAUCAAUCUUGAAUACUGUGGAGGUAAGCGGAAUAUGUCAUGUAGCGGUGAAAUGCUUAGAUAUGACAUAGAACACCGAUUGCGAAGGCAGCUCACUAACCGAUCAUUGACGCUGAGGCACGAAAGCGUGGGGAUCAAACAGG
rnacentral:rRNA from 1 species